AGUGAACGCUGGCGGUAGGCCUAACACAUGCAAGUCGAACGGCAGCACAGUAAGAGCUUGCUCUUACGGGUGGCGAGUGGCGGACGGGUGAGGAAUACAUCGGAAUCUACUUUUUCGUGGGGGAUAACGUAGGGAAACUUACGCUAUUACCGCAUACGACCUACGGGUGAAAGCAGGGGAUCUUCGGACCUUGCGCGAUUGAAUGAGCCGAUGUCGGAUUAGCUAGUUGGCGGGGUAAAGGCCCACCAAGGCGACGAUCCGUAGCUGGUCUGAGAGGAUGAUCAGCCACACUGGAACUGAGACACGGUCCAGACUCCUACGGGAGGCAGCAGUGGGGAAUAUUGGACAAUGGGCGCAAGCCUGAUCCAGCCAUACCGCGUGGGUGAAGAAGGCCCUCGGGUUGUAAAGCCCUUUUGUUGGGAAAGAAAAGCAGCAGGUUAAUACCCCGCUGUUCUGACGGUACCCAAAGAAUAAGCACCGGCUAACUUCGUG
rnacentral:rRNA from 1 species